rnacentral:lncRNA from 1 species
UCUUCGUUUGCAGAAAUGACUUUGUUGAGCUUCUUCUAGGGACGAUCGGGCUUUUGCCGUCAGAUCUAUCGCCCUAGUAGGAGAGAUCGACUCUGUCAUCGUCGGGCUUCAAUCUUCGUUUGCAGAAAUGACUUUGUUGAGCUUCUUCUAGGGACGAUCGAGCUUUUGCCGUCAGAUCUAUCACCCUAGUAGGAGAGAUUGACUCUGUCAUCGUCGGGCUUCAAUCUUCGUUUGGAGAAAUGACUUUGUUGAGCUUCUUCUAGGGACGAUCGGGCUUUUGCCGUCAGAUCUAUUGCCUUAGUAGGAGAGAUCGACUCUGUCAUCGUCGGGCUUCAAUCUUCAUUUGCUUCUUCUUCCCCACCCCUUUUUUUUCUUCUUUCUUUUCUUUUUCUUUUCUUUUGUUUUUCGUGUUGUUUUUUGUUUUUUUUUUCUAUUUCUUCUUCUUAUUAUUAUUUUGCAGGAACUCUACUUUUCAUCAUGGUGUACUUCACUGAGUAUUCUGACUUGACCAAAAGCUGUUUAAUUAUCCUGAAGGACGUAGAUCAAUCUUUAGAGGAUGGGAUCAUUCUUCCUGUGAGAGAGGGGACAUUUGAGAAUAUUAUGGACUCCCAAAUACCCGAGGACAAUUUUAUCUUUUUGCCUAAAUGGUCCAAGGAACGGUUUGUAAAUCCAAAUUCAUCUUUAAAAUCUUGGUUUCUGGAGUCUUCGAUUCACAACAAGCCUCCAAAUGAGGAUCCAUAAUCAACGUUGAGUCGUCGAAUUAUAAACGACCCAAAAAUUCGUUGGGGAAAUGUGCUCAAGGUACAUGGAGAAUUUUACUAUCUUCCUCAUUAUUGGGAGUGGUUAGAGCUCGCUGUUGCUAGAAAUACGGCAGUACUCAAGCGAGCCUCCCUAUUUAAUGCUAUGAUGGCUUCCCUAUAUACAUAUGAUCGCAACAGUGACAUUGAUCGGGCUUUCUGCGAGGCAUGGUGUCCUUCAACAAACACUCUUCACACCUCAGCUGGUGAGAUGUCCAUCUCCUUAUGGGACUUAUGGAUACUAGGAGGACUCCGAUUAAAGGUAGAUUUUAUGAAGAAAGCAUUCCUUGCCACCAAGACUUAAUAGGAUCACCUGAUGUAUGUCCAAGAAGUUGUGAGCAUUUAUUUGCAGCCUAUUACCGCAUUGUUUCUCAACGCAUGGAUCACUCUCAAAUCACUGUAAGUGAAUGGAUCUCUUUUUGGGUUACACGAUCUGAGGUAAAGUAUUCGAAACCGCCUCCUCGAAAGCCUAAAAAGACUUCUCGCCCUCGCUCAACUCAUAAUCCAGAUGGAAUUCCCAUCAGACGUCCUGACUGGUCUGAAGCUGAACUCAAAGUGUUCCUUGACUUAAGCGUCACUGAUGAUCAUAGGGACAAAACCUAUCUAGCGACAUUUCUCUCUUGUUGGCUAUGUGUGUUGUGUUCCCUGAUAAGCAACUUUCCCUUCGUCCGGAGGUUUUUAAGGUUGCUAGCCUAAAAAACCUUGUCGUCCCUGUUUUAGCUAAUAUUUAUAGUGGCCUACGCCAAGUUCAUGAUUCUACUUCAUCACUUGGUUAUUCAAAUGCCUGUUUUCCUCUUCACUAUGUCCAUGGGUGGCUUGCUCUUUACUUCAACACUCAUUAUAAAGCCCCUAGGAGUCUUAGGGGUCCUCGCAUGGUUGAAUUUUCUGGUGAAGGUGGGGCCAAAUAUUAUACUAAUCUUGAGGCUCGAACACAUAUCCACAAGGGAAAGUAUGUGUCAUGGCAUGCGUGUCUUCCAACAAAGAAUAAGGACGAACUCUUAACGGAUGAUGGAGAGUUAAUUAGUUGGAAUGCUUCAUUUUUCAUAAGCAUUCGCUCUUGUUUUCUAUCUUCGCAAUGUGGAUCCUCCACAGUUAUUGAGCCUUAUAGUCCUUGUCGCUUUAGCCGACAAUUUGGAUUUUAUCAAGACGUGCCAUAUGACUUAGGUGAAGAAAUUCCCGAAGCCAAUUUUUUUAACGUACGAUAUUGUUGGAUGAUUUGUAUUCGCGAGAAUACACUUUCCAAGUAUAUCUUCCUGUGUCUGCCCCUAAUCCAGACACACAUGUUACCUCUCAUUAUAAGGUCUGGUGGCUUGCAAAACAUGGUGAUUACCUCCAAGAAGGAGUACAACAUUUGAUAGAUCGUCCUACUCCCCCUCACAUCAAAUCCAAAAGCACAAAAAAGAUUGAACAUAAUUUUGGUAGUGGAAAUCAGAAGAUAUGCUCCUUGUAGAGAAAAUUGAGGGAGGGACAAAACGCUUGGUGGAUAAUUUGUCUCUUUCUACACGAUUUAAACAUCUUAUUAAAAGUGGUAUUGACAAUGUGGGUAAGGACAACCGCUUAUCGAUAGCUGCCAAGCAUCCUUCUAAACGUAUUGAGGACAGUCAAAGCAGCAAUGAUGAUCGCCAUUGGAAGAGACACAAGAAGCCCAACAAACAAUCGAUCGAUGAUGAAGAGUCUCCUAUUCGGGUCCCUGAUGCUGCACAAUUCUUCGAUGUCCCUUCCCCCAUGGUUUCUUUUCGUCUCCCUUUUUAUUUAUUUAUUUAUUGUAUUUUCUCUCCUUUACUCCUCUUAUUUCUUGUUGUUAAUAUUAUUUUGCAGUCUUCUUUAGGUGAUCACGACCUACACAUCGAAGAUACCCUAGAGUCGAUGCCGAAUCUAGAAGACUGUAACGUUGUACUUUCUUAUAAUGGGAACUCUAAGGAACCUAUAGGCGCAAAUAUUGUGUCUGCUUGUCCUCCUGUGAUCAAGGGACCUCCUCAAAAAGUGGAAGGCACGGAGCCUAUUACAGUUUCUGAGAUUUCUCAUUUUUGUGCUGACAGCUUAAUUUCUGACCUCCGACGACAGGCUGCCAUAACCUUAUGGGAAAACCUACGACAGAAGAUCAUUCGUACCCCUUUUGAACGACUGAGUAGUCUUGAACCAGAAAUGCAUAAGAUCUUUGAUGCGAUUGCGACUAGCGGCAGCGACAACCUUAUUGUUUUGAGGGAGCUUGUGAAUGGUUACUUCCAAGGUGUCGAGAACCAUAAUCAAAUACAUUCCUCAUUUCUACUCCAAUCAACUAAGGAUGUUCAGCUAACGGAGGCAAAAGGUUUUGUGAAGACUCUGCGAGUUGAUGAGAAUCGUAUAUUGGCAGAGACCAACACUGCUAAACGUCGUCUUACACGACUGUCCGCCAAGGAGGCUAAACUAGAGGCAAAACUAAAGAUGGUGCGGGCUGAGUCUGCUAAACUUUCUGGAAUAAUUUUUAAGAACGACCUGGAGCUGAAGCAGAAGCAACAUGAGAUUUCGAAGACUUGUGAGGAAAUUGACAAACUCGAAUGUGCCCCGAUCGUUGGAGAUAUUGAUGCUAAAAUGCUAUCAACACUUCGUGAAUCUUUAGAAAGCACACUAGAGGAGCUGAAGAACUUUAAAUGGACUCCAUGAUUCUCUCUUUCUCUUAUUUAUCUACUUAUGCUUUUUAAUUUUUUUUUUGCUAGAAGUUUAAUAAUAAAAAAUUUAUUCUUUCAUUGUUCCACUCCUCAUCAUAUUUUCUAUUAAAUGUAAUUUGUCUUUCUUUUUUUUUAUUGGACUGAACUUAAAGUUUCCUUUAAGCUGCCUACGUACCCUUUAUAAUAUAGGGAUCAAGUCAUAACGUAGUUCAACUUUUUUUUUUGCUGGACUGGGCUUAAGGUUUUCCUUAAGCUGCCUACGUACCCUUUAUAAUAUAGGGAUCAAGUCAUAACGUAGUUCAACUUUUUUUUUUGCUGGACUGGGCUUAAGGUUUUCCUUAAGCUGCCUACGUACCCUUUAUAAUAUAGGGAUCAAGUCAUAACGUAGUUCAACUUUUUUUUUUUUUUUUUACCUAACAAAAUUAAGCAUAAAUUUUUUAAGAAAUUUACCAUUGAUUGGGCCAAUUCGUAGUCCGUCUUGAUCAACGAUCUUGUAUGCGCCAUUUGUAUAAACUUCUUUAACAAUGUAGGUCCAUCCCAUUUAGGUGUGAACUUAUUUCCUGUAUGCCUUGUUGUGAUGAUCGGUCUCCUUACGGCAAGUACUAGAUCACCGACUUGAAAGGAGCGAGGUUUAACGUGUUUAUCAAAAGCUUUGGACAUUCUCGCUUGAUAACAUUCCAAUGCUUGCUGAGCCUCUAAUCGCUUUUCGUCAAGUGCUUCUAAUUCUUGAAGACGUAACUUCACAUUAUCUUCGGUAGUCAAUCCCUCUUGUACUGCCAUUCUUAGUGACGGAAUUUCCCUUUCGAGAGGAAGGACAGCCUCCACACCGUAAACAAGCGAAUAUGGUGUAACCCCUGUAGGGGUGCGAUGAGUCGUCCGAUAAGCCCAUAAUGCCUCCGAUCUUUUCUUGCCAAUCCCUCUUUGACUUGGAGACAAUUUUCUUUAAAAGAUUACACAAUGUUUUGUUGAAUGCUUCUGCUAGUCCAUUCGCAGCUGCGUUGUACAUGGAUGACUUAUAUUGCUUGAAUUUGAAUUUUUCACAUAACUUGUCCAUCAUACUAUUGGAGAAUUGCUUUCCAUUAUCCGUCACGAUUCGAUGUGGAAUACCGUAUCGAUAGAUGAUGUGUGUUCGAAUAAAGUCUGCCACGUUCUCCUUCUUGGCUUCUCUCAAUGAAAUGGCCUCAGCCCACCUUGAAAAAUAGUUGUUGCUGCUAGGAUAUAAGAAUGUCCUGCUGAUGAUUUUGGUGUAAUGGGGCCAACCAGAUCGAGUCCCCAAGCCUCAAAAGGCCAAGAAGCCACAGUUGGAUGAAGAGGUUCUGGAGGUUGGUGUAUGAAGUUUGCAUGGUAUUGACAAGGCUCACACUUCUUCACAUAGUCUAUUGAAUCUUGGAUCAUCUUAGGCCAGUAGUAGCCCAUUCUUCUUAGCUGGAAUUGAAGCUUUGGUCCCGAUUGAUGUGCUCCACAAACACCUGCAUGUACUUCCUUUAGAGCUUUUACCGAAUCUUCCUUUCCGAGACAUCGAAGGAAGAGCCCUUCAAGAGAACGGCGAUAUAAAGUUCCCUUGUAAUAAAUGAAGUGUGCUGCCCUUCUUCGUAUCUCAAUUUUAUGACGAGAAUCCUUUGGAAGCUUUCCAUGUUCAAGAUACUCUAUGAUGGGUUGACGCCAAUCUUCUUCAUCAAUCAAAUAGGAUGUUGCCAUGUUCACUUCCUGACAUUCAGGCCUAACUGGGGGUAUAAUCCAUCGUUGACAAAGUGGUAUGUUCAGAGUUACAUCAUCUGGCAUGGUCAAGGCCGUGGCUAAAUUUGCCAAUGCAUCCGCUCUCUUAUUUUCUACUCUAGGGACAUGUUCUAACAUCACAUUAUCAAACUUUUCCAUCAAUUGUCGAGCAUAAGCAAAAUAUGGCUUCAAGUCUUCAUGUUUCACGUCAUAUUGAAGCGAGAGUUGAUUGAUUAUCAAUUUUGAAUCACCAUAGACCUCUAUGAAUGACACUCCGAUUUCUAAUGCUAUUUGAAGGCCAAUUAUCAAAGCCUGAUAUUCAGCCACAUUGUUUGAACACAAUUCGGAAAGUGCAAAGCUAUAAGGCAACAUAUGCUUCUCAGGAGAAAUGAGGACAAUGCCUGCCCCCGCACCACUUCUUCGAGCUGCACCAUCGAAGUACAUAGUCCAAGGUUCCAUAACUUCUGUGAAGAAAACCUCAUCGUCUGGUAGGUCAUCACAUAACUUCCAAUCCGAAGGAAUUGGGUGGUCUGCUAAAAAGUCUGCUAGCGCUUGUCCUUUUAUCGCCUUUUGGGGAAUAUAGACAAUGUCAUAUUGUUGGAGUAGAACCGCCCAUUUGGCUAAGCGUCCAGAUGAUUGGCCUGGAUAGAACAUACUUUAUAGGGUCUGCUUUUGCCACUAGAUGAACCGUGAAGGCCUGCAUAUAAUGCCUCAACUUAUCAAUGGCAAAGAAAAGUGCAAGACACAUCUUUUCGAUAGGAGAAUAGUUAACUUCAGCCCCAAUUAAUGUUCUGCUUAGAUAGUAGAGAGAACGCUCCUUUCCCUUUACCUCUUCUUGUGCCAGUAAUGCUCCUAAGGACCUUUCUUGUGCAGCAAUGUACAAUAUUAGUGGUUUGUCAGGUACUGGAGCUCCCAGCACUGGGGGAGUAAGCAAGUAUUUCUUUAUGCUAUCAAAAGCGUUCUGACAAGCUUCAUCCCACACAAAAUUUUCUCCUUUUCUCAUCAACUUUUGAAAAGGUUGACACCGACCGGCCAAGUUAGAGAUGAACCUUCGGAUGUAAGCCAAUCGUCCUUGGAGACUUCUUAGGUCAUGCAAACUUUUAGGUCUUGACAUCUUCUGAAUGGCAUCAAUCUUGGACUGGUCUAUUUCGAUCCCUCGAUGCCUUACAAUGAAGCCAAGAAAUUUUCCUGAAGUUACACCAAACGCACACUUGAGAGGGUUCAUCCUUAGCUGAUAUUUUCGCAAGCGAUCAAACACGACUUUUAGAUCCUUCAAAUGGUCUUGUCGUCUCUUUGUUUUGACUACAAGAUCAUCAACAUAACAUUCAACAUACCUGUGCAACAUAUCAUCAAACACUUUCUGCAUGGCACGUUGAUAAGUAGCGCCGACAUUUUUCAAUCCAAAGGGCAUCACCUUGUAACAGUAUAUUCCCUUUGGAGUUCUGAAAGCUGUCAUUUCUUCAUCUGAGAGGGCCAUCCGUAUUUGAUUAUAUCCAGACGACCCAUCCAUAAACGACAACGCCUCGUGUCCAGUAGUUGCAUCAACCAUGAUUUCGGUGAUGGGCAAGGGAAAAUCAUCUUUAGGGCAUGCAUUAUUCAGAUCGCGAAAGUCUACACAAACGCGAAGUUGUCCAUUUUUUUUCUAACAGGGACAAUGUUUGCUAUCCACGUUGGAUAUUUGACCUCGCGAAUGAAUCCUGCUUCGAUCAACUUGUUGACUUCCACCUCGAUUUGAGGGAUAAGCUCCGGUCGAAAACGUCGUUGUGCUUGUUUAAUCGGUCGAUAUCCGGGUUUAAUUGCAAGAUGAUGGACUGCUACUUUUGGGUCAAGUCCUGGCAUCUCCUUGUACGACCACGCAAAGAUGUCCCUGUAUUCGGUGAGCAAACUCAUAUAUUUAUCCACCUCUUCGUUAGAGAGGGACGCACUAAUGAAAGUCGGACGUGGUUCCUCUAUUGUACCAAGGUUCACCUCUUUUAGCUCGUCUACAGUAGAUUGACCACCAUCCUCUAAACUUUGUGGGGCAUUUUCUGCGUCUUCUUCAUGAGUUCCAGUCUCUGAUUCCUCAAUAAUGGUGAUGUGAUGACAUGAAGUUUCACCUUCCCCUUGUUCCGACCCUUUUUUUCAGGAUUCGUUAGUAUAACAUCAUGUCUUUUUACCUUUAACGAACCUUGACUUGUAUUGAGAGUAACAAAAGUUUUUCUUUUCAUGCGAGAAGGAACGUUGCUAUGAAUUUCUCCAUUUUCCUUUGUCUCGCAAGGAAACUUCUUACUACGAUAAUUAUCGACAUCUGUAUGCUUAAUUCGACGCCAAACUUUCACACGAGACAUUGGUUCCUUCUUCUUUGUAUCUAUGUUGGAAUCAAUGUUGUCGUGUGAUCCUUUAUCCCCGAGAUGAUUAAAAAUCGGAGCACGGGGUGCUUGUACAUUUUUCUUUUUAGACACACCUAGCCUUUCAAAGGCUGAUGGUCUUGUAGUUGUCAAGGCAUGGCAUGUGCUUUCUUCCUUUAUGGGAGUCGUAGUUAGCCUUCGAAAGACCGAAUGUCUCUCAAGGUUUGGUACUGACUGGAGCCUUUCUCUUUCUGCCUCUGUCAUGCUUAGCCUUUCAAAUACUACGGGACGUGCAACAGAUGGUCUAAUUCGAUCAAAUACUGAGAUUCUCUGAUUAUCACCUUCUUUUACGUCAGUAUUGUCAUCCUCCUCUAUAGUUAUAUGAUUGAUGUCAACCACUUUUUCCUUCCCCUUUUUAGUUAUACGGAUCGGUUCUGGCGACUUGUAUCCGAGUCCUUUUCUCGACACGGGUAUAGAAUGUCCUUCCCGUAGAAGCUUCUUUUGAGUUGAGGAGAGCUCAGGUCGGUCAUGAAUUUCCAAGCUUUUAAACUCGGUGUGAGCUGUGAAGUCAUAACCUGCUUUCGCCAUCAAUUUGUAAGCCUUGGGGUCGAAUCCGUCUUUCGUUCGCCUUUGGGGCAAGUUUGCUUCCACCAGAUCUACCUUUACCUCCUGCUUCGCUAUCUUAGUUAGUGGUGUAGUGAAGCUUUCUUUUAUGAUUUCGAUGUCACCAACUUUCAAACCUUUUGGAGACUCCAUGAAUGGUGAUUCGCCUUUCUUGCGCCUUGACAGAGGGACAUAACGCAAAACUGGUGUGUUUGCAGCAUUUUCAUCCUUCAAGAUCAUACCCUUUGUGUUGCGCUAGUGUAUGCUUCACCCUUUCCAGAGUUAAAGGUUCUCGCACUUUCAUGUGGUUCUGUGGUUGCGAGUGAUUUCAGUUGUGAAUUAUCUUCUCCUUUUGUAAGAGGGGUUUCUGCAGGCAAAACUUCUAAAAUAUUAUUAUUCUUUGAAUAAAACUUUGCAUCUGCGAAGUGAGACUCAGCUUCUGAGAAUGGAUUAGAGUCGGCUUCAACCUUCUUUACACCGUCCUGAUAAAAUUUGAAGCACUGAUGCAGUGUUGAAGUUACUACUCCGUUUCCAUGAAUCCAAGGACGCCCUAGUAACAACUUGUAAGUAGUCCUUGAGUCUAUGACAUGAAACAAUGCACUGGCCUUUAGGUCGCCAAUUAUGAGUUCUAACCGUAUCAUGCCUAUUGCUCUUUGGCUACCUUGGUUAAAACCUUGAAUUACUAGCUUGCUAUUUGAGAGCUCGUCCAUCAAGAUGCCUAAUUGCCACAUAGUCGACUUUGGCAUUAUGUUGACAGCUGAGCCAUUAUCAAUGAGGAUUCGAUCGACUCUCUGUUCUCGAACGUAUCCAGAAACAUACAAAGGUCUAUUAUGAAGUUUAGAUCCCAACAACAAAUCCUCAUCUGAGAAGUCUAUAGACAUACAAUAAGAACCACUCUCAUAUGUCAUAGUCGGAGUACUCGAACUUGAUGCUCUUGAAUUUAGCAAUGCAUCAAUAAGGAUGGUUUUGGUCUCUUGAGGAAGUGAUAAUAGAUCCUCUACAUUAAACCUUGAAAGGUCUUUUGAUACUCCCUCUCCUUCUAGUGAUCUUGGAGGGAUUAUUUCUUCCUCCGUUGUGUUGAUAGCAUGACACGCAACGACUUCUGGGUCUUCAUCCUGAUGAUCACAAAGGAAGCUUUUUGGAAGGAAGUCUGCCAAGGUCACUAAGCGUUGAGGUCGAGAGAAAUUCAUGUCUUCAUUAUGUACGAGCUUAAGCUUAUGAGUCUUCUUCUUUUUCUUAUUCUUUUGAGUCUUAUUUCCUCUUCUAUAGUUUUGGUAAGAGCGAGACUCUCUUUGGGUCGGGAUCGACUGUCUUUUCUUUCGGUGGGUCACCACUAUCCACCCUUCAUCGUCUUCUUCGAUUGGUCUUUUCUCUCCUUGAGGAUCCUCGUAUGAGAUUUCCUGAAAGAAUUGGACAACUAUAGGCUCAAAGGUCCGAACUGGACCAAGCUUUUCCUUUGCUCAAAAAUCAAUCUCGACGAAGAAGCCUCAGACAUUAUCGUCACUUCAGCGUGGUUUGUUUGAGCUACUUCCUCCAAAUCUAGCUCAAUCCUUUUCUCACGAGCCAACCUUAGAAUUAGCUCCUUCAGCACGAAGCAUUUCUCUACUGGAUGACUGAUGACCCGAUGAUACUUGCAGUAAUUGGGAUCAUCUACCUUUCCUGCUUGCUCAGGUCGUUUACAUUCUGGCAGCUGGAUCAGCUGCUUCUCUAGUAGUUGCUCUAGCAUGUCAGCGAUAUCUGAAUCAGGAAAUGGGUAAACUUUUUCCUGCCUUUCUUUUAAAGUCAGACGUCGCCUUUCGCUUCCAUCAUCCUUCUUUUCAACCCUCGCUUCCUUUCCUUUGGAGAAUUUCAGCGGGGUUGUGUUUACGACCAUAGAUUCUUUCGCGGUGCUUUUCACUAUCUUUUCAGCACCUUUCAUCUCUUUCUUAUCUUUCUUUACUUCAGGAACAAGAAAAUCUUUAGUUCCUCUACUGGCGAUGCUCAACUCCAUAUCAUGAGCUCGAGUUGCCAGUUCUUCAAAUGUGCGGGGCUUUAUUCCCUGCAAAAUGUAGAGGAGUCCCCAGUGCAUGCCUUGGGUGCACAUUUCUACAGCCGACAGUUCGGUGAGCCGAUCUUUACAGUCAAGACUUAGAGCUCUCCAUCUAUUGAUGUAGUCGAUGACUGGUUCUCCCUUUCUUUGUUUCGUAUUUGUAAGCUCCAUCAUGCUUACAGUACGCCUGGUGCUGUAGAAGCGAUUGAGAAACUCCUUUUCUAGUUGUUCCCAACUCUCAAUGCUUUCUGGCUCCAGAUCAGUAUACCAUUCAAAAGCAUUUCCUUUCAAGCUUCGAACAAAUUGUCUGACUAGUUGAUCUCCUCUUGAUCCUGCAUUCUCACAUGUUUCGACGAAGUGAGCAACGUGCUGUUUUGGAUUGCCCUUUCCGUCAAACUGCUGGAAUUUUGGAGGCUGAUAUCCAAGCGGCAUUCUCAAGUUGUCGAUUCUUUUGGUGUAUGGUUUAGAGUACAUGAAAGAAGUCUGAGAUGGGCCUCCAUAUUGUGCUCUGAUGGAGUUUGUGAUCAUAUCUUGUAAUUGUUGAACCGAGAGAGAAGCCACAGAAGUUGAUUGUUGUUGUGGCUGAUUUUCUUGUACCACGUUCUUCCCUUUGUCAUCAACUUUAACGACAGGAGUUUGACUCGAUUCAGCAGUUUCACGAGUCUGCAUCUGCUCCUUUAAAGCUGCAAUUUCGUGGUCUCGUUCAUCAACAACCUUCAUCAGGAGAUUAAUUUUUCUCUCCAUCUCCGCCAUGGCAGUCUCGACUGCUACAUCAGCCAUCAUGACGGACAUCACAUCUGGGUGUGCUUCUUUCAGUGACCUGCUAGAGGCAGAAUCAUAAUCAUUAUAUAGAGGAUUUUCCUUGAUGACAAUUCCAGCUUUAGGAGAUUCCAUCAAUUGCUUCAGGAUGCUCUGCGCGAUGGCGGAACCUUGGUCUUGCCCUUGGAUGAUCCCCUUGGAACGACUACGGGUGAUAGGUCCCGUGUAGGUGUCGCUUGCAGCUGAAGAUUUGGAUGCAGCUUUCUUUGAUGCCAUUGAUUUGCUUGUAGAUCUAGAUGAUGAGAGAGAGAUGAGAGGUAGAGAUGGUCCCACUGGGCGUGCCAAUUUGUUCGCACGAGAUUUCCGGAGAAAUUUAAUUCGUGGACUUGAACUUGGGUUGAUGUUGUAUUUUUGUUGAUUUGAUGCGAUGCGGUUCAAUCUCUAGAAUUUGAUCCUCUGAUUCUCUCUCGACUGGAUGCUUCAGCUUGAUUUGGAGGAAGCGGAGCACGUGAUGUUCUUGAAGUUGGAGCCUUGGAAGAAAGCUUGUAUCUUUAAAGAAGCUUCAAUCUUCGAGGAUGGUCGACUUCAGGAGUUAGGGAGUCUUCUAGUUCUUGGAAGAAUUCUCUCUGGAUCUUCUAGAGUCAAAAUUUUCCAACCCUUACAAAUGAGGAGAAUUCCUCUAUUUAUAGAGUUCACUGUGGGCUUUAUGGGUUUGAACCUGGUUGGUCCAUGGACCAGACCCAUGGGCUCAACCAUAUGGACUUAGGUUAUAUUUAGUCUUUGGGCUCAAUUAAGCUUAUUUUUUGGCUUAAUUGAACUUAGUCCAAGUAAAUAAUAUUUAAUUGAACUAAAAUGAUUAACUUAAUCCAACGAUUAAUAUGAAAACAUGUGGCAUUAUUAGAAUGACCAAUUUAUUUAUUUAACUCUUUAAUUUGGGCACAUGUCAAUUUUAAUUAGUCCCAAAUUUAAUUAUUUGUACUUUUCAUCAUUAACUUAAUAAAUGAUGUGGCAACUUGUGAUUGGUCUCAAAAUUUCUUAUUCAACAGGCAUUUGGGACGGAACAAGAAACCGAGUCUGAGGCAUCACCGUUCGGCUUUGUGGGCAAGAAACUUCGAGAUCACUCAGAAUCGAACCACCCAGUAGUUAGACAUGACUUUCGAAGACCUCCGACCUCGUUCCUAGUCUAAUCGNNNNNNNNNNNNNNNNNNNNNNNNNNNNNNNNNNNNNNNNNNNNNNNNNNNNNNNNNNNNNNNNNNNNNNNNNNNNNNNNNNNNNNNNNNNNNNNNNNNNNNNNNNNNNNNNNNNNNNNNNNNNNNNNNNNNNNNNNNNNNNNNNNNNNNNNNNNNNNNNNNNNNNNNNNNNNNNNNNNNNNNNNNNNNNNNNNNNNNNNNNNNNNNNNNNNNNNNNNNNNNNNNNNNNNNNNNNNNNNNNNNNNNNNNNNNNNNNNNNNNNNNNNNNNNNNNNNNNNNNNNNNNNNNNNNNNNNNNNNNNNNNNNNNNNNNNNNNNNNNNNNNNNNNNNNNNNNNNNNNNNNNNNNNNNNNNNNNNNNNNNNNNNNNNNNNNNNNNNNNNNNNNNNNNNNNNNNNNNNNNNNNNNNNNNNNNNNNNNNNNNNNNNNNNNNNNNNNNNNNNNNNNNNNNNNNNNNNNNNNNNNNNNNNNNNNNNNNNNNNNNNNNNNNNNNNNNNNNNNNUUUCGUGAGAAAUUUACAUAACCACAAGCCUACCCUCCAUAGACAGUUUGGUAAGCACAUUUAGAGCCUAAGUGAGGAGGUUCGUAUUGCUAAAGAGUCCAUGGAUAAACCUCAGAGAAAGGUUGGGCAAAAUCCUAUGUCUGAUGUUUUGAGUCGCCAAGCAGGUCUUGCCAUUGAGGCCUUUUGGACGGCUGUUAGAUUGGAGGAAGCCUUCAUGUGUUAGAAGUCCAAGAGGUUUGUGAUUUGCCUUAGAACUUGUGUUACCUCCUCGAUGUUCUCCAUUAUGAUUAAUGGCUCUUUCAAGGGUUUUUUAAUGGGAGGAAAGGUUUGCGGUAGGGUGAUCCUUUAUCUCCUUUCCUUUUUAUCAUGGUGAUGGAGGUCCUCUCUCGUAUGUUCAAUCGGCCUCCUCCGAGCUAUCAGUUUCACAGGCAUUGUGAGAAGGUUAGCUUAACUCAUCUGACCUUUGCUAAUGAUCUUAUGAUUUUUUGUACUGCUGAUGAUUCCUCUCUGAGUUUUAUUAACGAGACUAUUCGAAAGUUUGGUGAUCUCUCGGGGCUAUUUACUAAUCUUAGUAAAAUUUCUAUGUUUGUUGUAGGGGUUAAUAGUGAUGAUGUUUAUCGUUUGACUACCAGUUUGGGUUUUGUCCUCAGGCAUCUCCCUGUUCGUUAUCUUGGGCUUCCUUUACUUUCUGGGAGGUUACGACCUACUGAUUGUGCUCUCUUAUUCAACGUAUUACUAGUCAGAUUCAUUCUUGGUUUGCUAGAGUUUUAUCAUUUGCAGGUAGAUUGCAACUGGUUCGAUAUGUGCUUGAUAAUCUUCAGGUUUACUAGGCUAACGUGUUUGUGUUGCCUGUGAGUGUGCAUCAUGAGGUUGAUAAAAUCUUGAGGUCUUAUCUUUGGAGGGGUAAGGAGGAAGGUAGAGGAGGUGUUAAGGUGGCGUGGGCUGAGGUGUGUUCCUUUUAGGAGGGUGGUCUUGCUAUUCUUGAUGGGCCUUCUUAGAAUGUUGUGAGUACUAUGAAGAAUCUUUGGUUGUUGCUGACUAGUUCGAGUUUUCUACGGGUUGCUUGGGUGGAGGCUUAUAUUCAUAAAGGAAGGUCAUUGUUCGAGGUCGAUUCUUGUGUUGGUCGGUCUUGGUGUCUUUGCGCUAUCAUGUGUAAACGAGAUAGUCUAAAAGAGCAUGUUCAGAUGGAGGUUGGGGAUGGUAGGCAUUGUAAACUGUGCCUGGAUCCGUGGUUGCAGGGUGGUCAUAUCCUUCAACAAGUUGGUGAGAGAGCGCUUUAUAAUGUAACGAGUAGAUAGGAGGCUAGGCUCUCUAAGUUUAUUGGUUCGAAAGGGGAGUGGAGGUGGUCGAGGGUAUCUUUGGAUUUGAUUAAUUUAUCGGAUAGGGUUCAAGUUGUAAGUUCGUGUCCUAAUGUUGGUGAUAGGUGGGUUUGGGUUCUUGGUCGUCAUAGUGGUUUUUUGAUUGCUAGUGCAUGGGAUACUAUUCAUCCUCGUAGUGUUAAGGUUCGUUGGAUAGGUUUCUUGUGGGGUGGGGAUUGAGAGUCUCGUUAUCAUUUGUUUUUUCAUGUCCUUUUGGGUGUGAUAUUUAGUCUCGGGUCCUUUAGGUUAUGGCUUCCUCUCACAGGAUUGGGUAUUGGGGGGUUGAGUUGUUUGGGUUUGUCAUUAGAGUAUUGGUAAGGGUGUGAGAAGGAAGUUGUGGUAUGUUCUCUGGUGUGCUACGAUUUAUUUUAUGUGAAAGGAGCAUAAUCAUUGUCUCCAUGGUGGUCAAGCUCGUGAGCUCAUUGUUCUGUUUCAGCUUAUUCCAUAUUGUAUCAGUGCUCGUGUUGUUUAUUUGCGUGAGGAUGCUCAUGGUAUUAUUUAACUUGUUUUCUUUUGAUUUUUGUUUUAUCUGCUUGUUCUCGGGGCUGUGGGGUUGUUUGGACUUUUUAUGUUUUUGUUGCUCUUAAUUUUGUUGGGUUUAUUAUUGUUCUUUCUUUUGAUACUUUGGAUUCUUCCUGUUUUUGUGAGCAUUGUCCGCUCUUGUGAGGUCAUCCUUGUUGUAUUAUGAUAUUAACUUUUCAAAAAAAAAAAAGAUAAUGCAAUUCAACUUUAGAUAGAAACAUGAUUCGAAUUUUCAUUUCAAGAAAAUACAAGGGGACAGAACUCAAGGAUUAUGUGGAUCACAAAACUUGAAUUACUAGAAUCUAAAUUUCCAUAUGUUAGAUAUCAUUAGAAGCAGUUAGACCAAAAGUUAAUUAUCAAUAUGUUAGUUCACAGGAACUGCAUAAUCAAGCACAUAAACAUCCACAUUGUCAUUCAUUGUAGGCAGCUUUGAUACACAAAAAAUAUGGAUAUUUUCAGAAGUUCAAGCAUACACAAAAAACAUAUCCUUGUCAGAAAAUAGCCAACUAAGAAAGAGAAGUUCAAGAUUUAUAUACAAAGUGCAGCUGCAAAAGGACAAGCAAGAUGCCAGAAUCUAUAUAUUAUGCAGUCGGAUAUUAAUUGGCAAGUACUAACAGCAAAGGUACCAAAAUAAAACUGUAUCAAUUUAUCUUGUCUAAAACUAAACAGUAUAUGUAAAUCUUGCAAACAAACAAGUUUUUUGAAUCAAAACUGUCAAAAGAUUUUGAUUCAAGUGAUAUGUGGAUUGUGAUCUUUUGUGUCACCCAUCCAUUCCUCCUGUUUUAACCAUUUAAAUCAAUAAAUAAUUUUAUGUUCAAACAUAAGUUGGACAACCUUUGUUAAAGAACUGCUUCCCACAACAAAUAGCAUUAACCACCCUUUUUUAAUUCAACAGAUGGGAAUAGAGAUCGAAUCUCUGAUUUUUUGGUCUAAGGUACCUUUCCUAAACUUGUCGAAUUCCAUUUUCUACACCAACUUUAGAACGAGUAUAUAUACAUCAAGUAAUUUCAUGUUCAACUCAAAAUUGGACAACCAUAGUAUUACUCCAAAGCAAACAAUACUAAUUGUUCCAUUAAAUGUUUUUUUAUAGCUCUUGAUUGUCUCACUUUUUUGUAUUUUGAAUUUACAAGCCUCUUUUUUCUUUCUUUGGUAUGAAAGGUGGCAACUAGGCCUUGCUAGAACGAGUGGGGUAACCUUUCUAUGGUUCUACACUUAGUUUCGAAGUUCGAAGUUUUCCUCCUACAGUGGAUCAUCGCUAUUGAUUCUUCUACUGUUAAUUCGACCUCCCACGAAUUCUCUUCUUCUAAGGAUUCACUUUUCUCUAAGGCUGCACUUACUAAAAAGCCUUGAUCUUCUUCCCCCAAUGUUUUCAUAAACUUCUUAAGACAGACCCUGACCUUGGUUAGGCUCGGAUCUCCUUGGAUUAUCACUUCUUCCCCUGAUAUGUAAAUGUUAACAUCAUAUUCUUCCAAUCCACUCCAGUCGUUCCCAAGGAAUACAAUCACUGCAUUCCAAGUAUGGCAACUACCCCUCCCAACUUCAAGGGUAAAAACUCAUUCACUACCUUCUAGUCUCCCAGCAUUAACUCAACAUCUUCACAAAUUACCUUCCCUUUGACUACAGUGCCCGAGCCCAAAAUAACUCCAUAAUUCGACGUUUCUCUUAUACUCAGUUGCAACUCUUUCACUAUUUUUUUCUGAAAUGAAAUUGCGUGUGACUCCACAAUCAAUUAGUACUAUAGCCACCUUCCCUUGUAUCAUCUCUUUUACCUUCAUUUUCCCUAGGUUGGAUAAUCCCACCACAUAAUUAAUGGAUAAUUCCACCAUCACUUGACUCUCCUCUACGAUCUCAGGGGCAUUCAAUUCUUUCUGAUCAAUUCCUCCUUCUUCAAUAAUUUCAUACUCCUCGCCUUCUUCCUUCACAACAAUCAUUCGCAAUUCCCUUUGCUCUUUCAUCUUGCAUUUGUGGUCAUGAGAAUAUUUCUCAUUACAGCGAAAGAACAAUCCCUUCUUUCUAGAUUGAAAUUCAGCAUCAAAUAAGUGCUUCGUCUGUCCCUCUUUCCGUACUUCCUCUUUUGUUGUUCCUCGUAGAGUAAUAGUUCUCAUCGGCCAAUUCAUUCCUCCUUUACUUUCUUCUGUAUUCGCAAUGGUAUUAGGCUUGGUGCUAUUAUGGGAGUUUAUCACCUUUUCUCCAGAAUAUCUAGAAAGAUUUGCUUCCUGACAUAUAUCUUCCUUGUUCUCUACCUUUUGCGCGAUUCGUAUCAUUUGUUUUUUUCUUGUCAUUUUGGGUGGGAGAUUUGGUCGAGGAUCCUUUUGCUUAUGUCAUCUUCUCAUAGAAUCGGUUAUUGGGGGGUUGAGUUAUCUUGGAUUUAUAAUCAGGGUAUUGGGAAGAGUGUGAGGAGAAAACUGUGGCGCCUUCUCUGGUGUGCUACAAUUUAUUUCAUUUGGCAGGAGCGAAAUCAUCGUCUUCAUGAAGGUGCUAUUUGGGAGCCUAUGGUUGUAUUCCAGCUCAUUUGGUCGUGUAUUAAAGCGCGUGCUGCUUCUUGGUCGGAUGGUGUUCAUGGUCUUAUUUAAUGUUCUUUUCGUUUGCUUGUCCCCGGGUUAUGGGGUUUCUCUUCUCUUUAUUAACUUUGUUGUCUUUCUCUCUUCUUCUUGUCCUUUUAAUGUUUGGAACACUAGUUGGUUUCUUUUGGUUUUAGUUCUUGUUCCCAAGAUGUGGGGUUGGGUUUUGGGUACUUAUGGGUUGUUUUGUCUAACUACUUGUUCUGUGAGUGUUGUUCACUCUUUUGUCUUGACCUCAGGAUGUGAGGUCCACCUUGUUGUUGUAUAAUAUUAUCAUUACCUUUUCAAAAAAAAAAUCAAACUCAAUGCUAAGUUUGACUGCUCCCUUCGAAGUGACAACAAGCCUCAUUUUCGCCCUACUGUGGAUCGAGGAGGAUUCCUCCUCUUUUCAAAGCCCUCAAUCAAACUUGACGUUAUGUUUAAAACACUAUGGUCUAGUUUUGGUUAGGCCAAAAGCGAUGUUUUCCCCCAAAAGCUCUAAUAGCUAGGGAACUCAACAUGUUCUACUUGACCUAACCAACUUGACUCUGUAUUUUUUAUGAGCUUUUUUUAAUGCAUAUUGCAUAUGUUUUUUUUAUAAUUGUUGAUUGUCUCACUUUUUUAUGGUCUGCAUUUACGAGCCUCUUUUCUUUCUUUGUUAUGAACUGCGGUAACUAGGCAUUGCUAGAACCGAUGGGGUAACAUUUCUAUGGUUCUACACUUAGUUUCUAAGUGUGAUUGCUCACCUCUAAUUUUCAAAACACUUAAUUUCUAAGCACAUACAAUGUUCACCUAGAAAAAAAUGAAAAUUGUUGUACUUAAGAUCAAAACUAAAUAGUUAUGAAAUAAGACAUAAGAGAUUUGAUUUUAACAACCUUCUCGUUGUACUUGGGAUCCACUCUGGCUUUGUGCUGGAAAAUUGGUUUGGAGCUGAUCAUAAGCUUUCGGUUGCUCUUCUGUAACCUUUAGAUACUCUUCAAAGCUAUAAGCUUUGCUUCCUGACGAAGAAUCUUCUACUAUUACAAUACAUAAGAAAAUUCUAUUUCAUAAACCAUGUAUCAUAAUUGAGGCUGAUAGAAUGAUUAUUCUAUAACCCUACCGAUAGUUUCAUUCUUAACAUUCAUAGACACGAUGCAUGGCAGCUAUCCAAUUCUAUUUCAUAUUCUCGAGAAUGGCUCGGUUUAACAAUAAUGUUAAUUUUUGUUUUCUAUUUUAAAAUAAUAACGCUGCUUACUAAUCUUUUUUUUUCCAUUUGGCAUUCUACUUUUUCUACUCAGCUUUCUUUCCCUAGUGAUAACAAAUAAUACGGGUGAUAAAAAACUUAAUCACUCACUUGUUUCAGCCACCGAAAGCCCUUCUGCUUUAGAAAUAGAAAUACGGGUGAUACGGGUGUGCUGUUCAUUGAACUCUCAAUUUCAUCAAGACCAAUUUCUCACUCAAACAUGGUCUUGCAUUCUCUAGAAACGUCCUACAAACAAAAAUGAAGAACAAAAAACUACAAUAAGGUCUAUGAAAAAAUUACAAAGGAAAAUCUCAAAAACUGAUAUGUAAGUCAUAACAACCUUAAGUCCUCUUAUCAUGGGUUAAAAUGCACGUAAGGUUUUUCCAAGAGUCCGAGCAACCAGCAUGUAAAUAAGUUAAGUCAACUAAAUUUGCUAUAAAUUUACUCGUAUUAACAUUAUCAUUGUUAUAGACUUGACAACUUCAAAUUUAUCAAUAUAAAAUAUGCUUUAACAAAACGUACCUUGAGGUUCCUCAAACCUUAUUAAAAAAGCAAAUAAUACAACAAUUUAACAAAUUUAUAGUGCAUAUUAUGUAUAUCAAUUGAUCACAACAAAAUAAGAUCGAACAAAUACCCAUGAGUAAUAUUUAGCCACCAAAUGAAUAAUGAUGAAAACCUGAAAACAAAAUCGAGAAAAAAAAGGGAACAAUUCAUCAACAAAACAAAUUUAGGGGACUAAAAAAUUGCUUACCUUAUUACACACUUCAAAAUAUUAAGAAAAGUGGAGGGAAAAAACCAACCAAUAAUCAACAAAUAAACUUCAACACAAAUAGCCAUAAAUUUUCUUCUUUAAAGGUAUCACAAAUAAGUCCAUCAGUAAUACCAAAAUAAAAAAGGGCAACGUGCAAUUGAAUUCUGCAGUCGUAAAGCUAUGCUAAAGGCAGUAUGAAAUCAAACUUGAGCACUAACAAGAAAAUUUGCAAAACAAAAAUUACUAGACAUCAUUAACUAAAGUACCAGCACAACAAUGAAUGUGUAACCUCCGCAAGAGCAAACCCGAAUGGAGAAGAACAUGAAGAAAUAUAUAAAUAGAAGAAACAUAAAAGACAAACAUGAAACACAUGGAAAUAUACAAAGGGGAUAAAUAAAAGUACAAUUAUAAAGUGAUGAAGCACAAAUAUAGGUAUCAACAGAACCAGAAUACAAGUCUUACCCUAUCUCGACUGUCGAGGAGUGUUAACCAACCGUCGGAAGGUUGGUUUUAUUUUUUAGAAAAAGUUAAUGUUGUCUGAACUCUUUUCCAAGCCACUAACCAGCCCCUCCUUAUCUAUGAUCGACGAUCAACUCCUCAACCUCUAAUUACAUUUAAAAGAGUGAUGCGAACAUUGUGUGAAAUCCCAAACCUUUGAUGGAUCCCACCAUCACUCUCUUUCUAUCCCCUUCAAAACCUCAUUAUUUUCAAGAGAGGCCUCAAAGCUUUCUUCCAAUUAACAUAAAAGAAGAAUGAAAGAGAAGGAGAGAAAGGGAAAGUGGUUCAAAAGCUAUGGAAAAAAAAGUAAAAGAAAAUGGUCUACUCAUUGGCACAUCUUACACAGAUGAUAAUGUUAGGGCAAGGCAAUGAGAGACAGAAUGCUUUUGGAGCCUUCUCCUCUACUUUCGAAGAUUUUAACAAACUAAAAUAUGCAAAUGUUACAAGAAAGAUCUUUGGAGAUUUGAAAUAAUCCAAAAUAAAGAAAAAGGAAAACCCCAAUAUGUACAAAUUUCAAAAUCUAAAACUUGAAAAGUGAUUGAAUGAUGAGAUAUGUUUGUACAAUCAAUUAUAGAGACAGUGAAAUAUUAAAACAAAAAUGAAACGUACCAAGAUAAAAAGAAUAGCAACUAGUAUUAUGACCUUUGUAUGUCUUCAAAAUACAAACAUCAAAAUGAAUCAAGAGAUCUACCACACAAAUAAUGGUAUCAACACAAAUAAAGCAAUUGUUUUAGUAACAAUAUUUGAGUACAAUUAAACUAAGCAUGCUAUUUUCCUUGACAAAUUUACAUUCUUCUAAUCGAACAAAAUCUGACCUUUAAAUAGUGAUAGAAACUGAAGAUGAAAGCAAGUUUAGCUACAACUUCAGACCGUGAUAUAUAUGACGGAAUCUAUAAAAAAAAGAAGAGUACCUAACUAUAUAUACACAGAGGAGAUCUGAUGCUUACUAGCACAUCAGAGGCUCAAUCGAUUUAUAUUUAAUUGAAAAACAAUCCCUAUAUUUUAAUGCAUACACAUUGAAUAGCCCCUGUUUCAAUCCAAUUUACAAAACUACCUCCAUAAAAUUACAUAAUGGGGGAAGUUCGACCGGAUGCACUGUGCUUUACCAGAACCACAUGAAAUUAUUGGAACAUAGUUCAUUCAAUUAACUUUCUAUUCAAUAAUUGAAACAAAUGGAAAGAGGACAUAUGAAUAUUAAAUAAAGAUGGAAUUAAUUGGGAACUCACGGAGUAAUGCGAUUUGUUCGGGGGCUCACUACUGGAGUUGGAAGAGAGACAAGGAUUAGAAAGGAAAGGAAGAGGAGCGUCUGAUAAUCCAGCGGAUUCUUUGAUGAGUGGAGUACUAGUAGUAGUAGUGGAGGUUCCAAGGACAUUGAAGUCAAUCCGGUGAGAGUGAGGGAAUCCAGAAGGUUGAGGUUGAAGAGAGUAGAAAUUGCAACCAAAAUCGGUGACGAUGGUGGAAUCGAAAUUGCGAGGGAAGAAGAAAAGAGCAUCACAGGUCGAAGUAGAGGAGGAAUCAACACUGGAGAAAGGAGGAAGAUGAGGAGAACCUGCCAUUAAUGGAAGAGGGAGGAAGUGAGAGAGAAAGGAGAGGGAAUUAAUUAAUUAAAGAGAAUUAGGGUUUGAGAAGAGAAAGGGAAAAUGGAGUGUACGAACAAAGAAGAAGAAGAAGAAAUGGAAAGGACGCGCUAAGAGAAGAAGAUGGAUCGGUGAAAUGGGUAUGAUAGGGUUUCUUCCUUAAAGAAACGGAAAUUCAGAGAUAGGCCUUAGGAUUUUGAGAAGAGAAAGGAAAACUGGAGUGUACGAAGAAAUGGAAAGGACGCACUAAGAGAAGAAGAUGGAGAUUGGAUCCGCAACUAAGAGAAGAAGAUGGAGAUGGAUCCGCGAAAUGGGUAUGAUAGGGUUUCUUCCUUACAGAAACGGAAAUUGAGAGAUAGGCCAAAGAAGACAAGAGAGCAAGAGAGAAUGGGGGAGGAGAGGGAGGAGAGGGAGACUUGGCCGUUAGAGAAGAGGAUAAAGAAAUUUUAAAUGAGAGAGACUCUACAUGUAGGGUUUUUAUUAGAAUUUUUUUUUUGAAAUCUUGCUUAAUUGGAUUUAGAGAAUUUUGUGUAUUCGGUUCACUGACUCGUAUUAGCUGUCCAUUGGUCCAUUGUUUUGUCAUUUUUUUUCAACAAACUAAAUGUUUUAAUCCAUUUACAAAUUAGAUUUCGAUAAAUCGAUAAUCAUAUUUUUUUACAAUAUAGGACUAAAAAAGAUAACUAAUUUAUAUAGAUAUAUAUAUAUAUACACAUACAACAGUAUUUAGUUAAAUUACAAAAAAUUUGAAUUUUGUAGUUUGUGUAAAAAAAUAACCUUAAACUUUGAAAUGUAAAAAAAAAUUGUUUUGAACUUUUAAAAAUUAUUCAUAAAUACAUCUACAUACGUAGGAUGAAGGUAUUGGCAUGCUUCUCUAAAAAAACUUUCCAAAAAGAUGUUGUGUGACUUUUGAAAAGAAAAAAUUACAAAUGGGGUCGUUUUUAAACAAAUUAGAUAUAUCGAGUUAUGUUUCUUUAAUUUUUUUCCUUUUUUCACAUAUUAUCAAUCACAUCUUACUUUUUUCUUUUUUCUUUGGAACCCUGCAAAAUAACAAAAACAUUUAUAAUCACAUGACUCAUGUCACUACAUUUUCUAAAUUUUAAAAGUAGUAAAUUUAAAAGUUGAUAACCCUAUGAUUAUCGUUUGAUAGUCAUCUAAUAUCACUAAUUUUGUCAUAUUCGUAAUAUCCAAAUAAGGUUUCUUGGUGAGUCUAGAGUCGAACGUGAGGACUUAUACUAAAAAUAUAUUUAUAUUUUGAAAUGAUCUUAAGGUGAUUAAUAACAUACGCCUAAGAACCAUAGCGGUAUCAUCCACUUGUAGGGUGGGAGGGGAGUCAUCCACUAUAGAUAAGGUCCACUUGUCUCCCUCACCCAACUUCAUAAGGCUGCCAAAAGAGUUAGGCAUAAUCACAUCCACACGUUUACCCUUCUCUCGAACAUAAACCAACUCUCUUUUCUUCCUAAUAACGAGUAAUUUCAUUCCGAUUACCUACCUCCUUUUCCUUAAUAUGCCUAAUGGGGGAGCUAUUAGUCUUACUUUCCUCCAACUAUUUAAAGUCUAACACCACAUCCACAAGACACAAUUGUCCGUUCCUCCUCUUUGUUUGAAACCACCUUGCUCACAUCCUCCUCUCGAUGAACUUUGUUUUCCACAAUCUUAGGACACUUACCACUAGAAUGCCCAAAAGACCGGCACAAAUUACACCUUCGAGGCUUCCACUCAUAAUUCACAGUCAUAACGAAAUCCUCUCCCCUAAGGUGAAUUGUAAAUUCAGCAGGCAUAGGAGAGUCCAUAACUAUAGUUUGCCUAUAGCACUAGCCACAACAGUCAAUCUGACAUCUGUCCAUAACUCCAUUGGAAUCCUACCUAGUUUAAUCCAUAUAGAAGUCUUCAUCUCUUAUCUAAUACCAAUGAUGGAAAGCUAGGUAUUUACUGAAUAUCCAAAUCAAAUGACCUCUAUGCACAAGAAAAUCUCUCCCGAAGGGUUGCUAUAUAUCUUAGAAUAUUUUAGGUAUAGACUAAAACAUGCUAAUAUUAUUUUCAAGCUUAAACAUUUUGAAAACUUAGCACAAUCAUAAUUGCUUAUAAUUUUCAUUAGUAAAUUCAUCAUAAAAACAUGUUUACCAAAAUGUUUCUAAAUUCAUGCUUUGGAAAUACUUUAUAUGUCAGUAUCCUCAAAUAUUCAAACAUCAAAGCAUGCUUGAAACAUUUGAUAGUAAAUUCAUGUUUAGAAAUCAACUUUAAACUCAUUUUUGUCACUUAAAGAGAGUAGCUUGGACCCUUGUCUUAUAAACUUGUUCGAUCUCUAGAUCUAAAAUAAUGAAAAAUAAUGGGAAAUAAUUCCAUUUAAUUCCCGUUGAUCAUAAAAAUAUCAAAACUUUGCUUAAAAUUUCCAAAAACCACAAAAACAGCCUAAAGACAUUAGCUUGCAUACAAAAUAUUGUGCAGAAGUUGGCAGGCGCGCGUAUGGCUUGCCUUGCCAUGUCUCGUUCUAACCUCAUGUGCAGCGUGUCACAAUCACAACUUUUCAAACACGGAACAAACUAUUGUGCGGAGCUUGUUGUAACUCGAUGAACACGUCAGUUGUAUGAAAUUGGAUACGAUGUAGCCUCUCUACAGGUUUUAAGAGAAAUUGGUUUUAUUAAACACGAGAGAGAAAGGAAUGCAUUGGAAACAUCGUUAAAAAAAACUUUGAAGACUGUCCAUUGCAAAGAGAGCUUAAAUUGCAAAGAGUACCUCUGUGAUGAGAUUGGUUUGUGGAACCAAUUGGGAUGGGAAAAAGUUUAGAGAUAUUUGAGAGAAACUCUUUUCUUUUGCAAAGAGCAAUAGCGUUAGCCUUAUUUUUUCAUUUUUAUUAAUUCAUUUUUUUAAGAAAAUUGUUUUCUUCUAGAUAUUAUAACUCUCUUUCCUUCUAGGAAUAGAAAAUGAAGUAGAAGAGAACCAUGAGAUUCUAUUAAUUUACAAAUAAUUAAAUUAAUAUAUAUUUCAAAUCUACUGAUUAAUUAAACAUUAAUCAAUUAGUUAAUAAUUAAUGAAAUCGAAUUUAAUUAAAUAAUAUUAAACUAAACUAUUAAUUAAUUCUCCAAUUAACUAAUAACACUAAAUUAUUUAUCUUAUAUUUACCUUAAAUUAAAUUUGAAUCAUAUUCAAAUAUAAGUUUCUCUCAAUAAUUUUAAUAUGAAUCCAAUUCACAUUAAAUUAAUAUUUGAACUCAUUCAAAUAUUUUAACUCUCAUAAAUUAAUUUUGAAUCAAUCCCCAAGUUAAAUUUAUAUAGUAAAGUUUGAUAAACUUUAUAUUAAAUGUAUCACUAUACAUUAUACUAAUUCCCAAGUUAAAUUUUAAACAUUUUAAAUUACAACAAAUAUAAAUAAAUCUCAUUACCCUUUACGAGCUAGGAAAGGGACCUAAUGGACCUACAUAUCAGAAGCUACAACGAUCUAAGAUUAAUUGGCUAAACUCAUUAACCACAUUAAUCAAUAUUCGUUAGCUGUGUGUACACUCCACUAAAGACUCACAACUGAACUCUUCUCACUAAAAAUAAUUUUAUGUGUCCACGGAUAUAGACUAAUAAUAGUAAGUUAGUCUUCACGAGUGUUUGUAACACCAGUUGGAUCAAUUUACCGCUUUACCCCUAUGUUACUCUAAUCCUUAAAACCAGUGCUUCUCUAAUGAACAACUUGUUUAUGGUCCUAUUAAUAAACAAAAAACCCCUCUCAUGUCAUAGAGAGGGUACGGGCCCUUUGUUCAGUUUUGGAGACACCAUUUAAGCUAACAUUCAUCUAGUUACCCUAAAGUAGGAAAUAAGUGAAUUCCAUUUUGUGCAAUUAUAAUCCAACUCCCCACUCAGUCUUGUCCCCAAAAACACUACUACAAAAACAGGCUUUUUUGACGUUUAAAAACGCCAAGAAUAUUUACGAAUUCAACAUUCUUGACGUUUUUUAAAUGUCAAUAAUAUAUAGUUUUCCUCGACGUUUUAAAAACAUCAAGUAAUUUAUAAAAAAUUCUUAACGUUUUUAAAAUGUCGAGAUAAUUCUAAAAAAUCAUUGAUGUUUUUAAAAACUUCAAGAAAUUUUAAUUUGUUUUUGACGUUUUAAAAACGUCAAGAAAUUUCUCAAAAAUUAUUGUGUUAAUAUUCUUUUACAAAACUCUACGUUUCAAUUAGAUCACUUUCCCUUUUCUUAAUUAAACCUAAUUCGCCGCGACUCUGUCUUUCUACCCGAAAUCAAAAGUGUCGUUCACCUAACCUUCCUUUGCGUUCAUUUGUGCAUUCAUCUGCGUUCAUCGCCGAAAAAAGACUUCCUUCGCGUUCAUUAGCGUUCACCUUCAUUCAUUUGCGUUCAUUGUCCGUCACCGUUCGUCUGCUUUUCGUUCCCUUCACCUUCGUCGAUUUGCGUCCGUCUGUUCACCGUUCGAAAUGCGUAAACACAUUCUCUGUUCGAAAACGAGUAAAAACGUUCACCGUCCUUCUGUCGCAUUCCACUUUCGCUAAACCUCUAUUCGUUUCCAAAUCCUUCAUGGUUACUCAUUCAUUUUCUUCCCUUUCUAAAGGUAAUAAUUUUCCUUUUUUCCUUUGUGAUUAAAAUUUGUAAUUUGUAAUUUAAAAUUGGAAUGCAAAAUUAAAGAAGAGGAAAUAUGCCUUAGAGAAUGGAAGAAAGGUUUUGCAUUUUAGGCUUGAAAAUGGGGGAUACAAGUUAUUAUAAUUGUAAUAUAUAAUAUUUUGAACAAGGCUACCAAGCGUGCGAAUAUGAUUCAUUGGUUAGUUAGGGAUUGGAAAAGAGAAGGACUGUGGAGUUUGUGAUAAUAUUUUGGUACACUGGAGCUGGAAACAGAGAAUAUUAAAAAACACAUACUGUUAUACACAGUAUUAUAAUAAUACGAAUCACUAGCUUUUCUCUUCUUCGUUUUCUUUUUUCUUCUCCUGGAAUUUUUGUUAUGGGUAUUGUAUUGAGUUUUGUGUUUUAGAUUGUGAAGUAUGGGGUAGCUAAACUCUUAAUCCUAGGGGAUAGAUGUAGACAAAGUUUAUGAAUUAUUCUUUGUAAUGCAUCUGAUUAUUUGCUCUUAAUCUUUUCAUGUUUUUAUGUGAAUAACGUUCAUAAUAUCUAAUCACAGAUUAAUGUUGAUUGGCCAUGAACCUUAAUCUUUGCAUGACUAGAGUGGUUAUUGAACUUGGAAAGAGAUAAUUAAGGAUCCUUGAGGAUGUUGUUGAAAGAAGUGGACCUAAAAACUUUUGUUUGUUAAUAAAAAGAAAAAUGAACAGAGAUUCAUCUUCGUCAGGGAGUCUUGAUGUUUAAUUUAAUUUAAAAUUGUGCAUGAAUUUUAAAUUACGAGAAUUUUAAUAUGUUGCAAGAGCACUAUAGCCAAGGUAUAUGGGAGGGAGAUAAGGUUUAUAUGUCUUAGAGAAUGGAAAGAUGGAAUUUGUGCUAAAAUCAUUAGUGUUCCAAAUACAAUUAUGAAUUAGGUAUAGUUGCAUUCCCCAUUCUGGAUUGCAUAGCACAUAAAUAUACUCUCAUGGAUUGCAUAGCACAUAAAUAUACUGUAAAACACAAUAACAUAAAACACAAACUUGAUUUAGUUUCAUUCACACUUGUACACCAACAUGUUUCAAGUAAUGAUCAUAUAUUAAAAAUCAUUUUCAAAUUUGGUAAUAUAAAAUGGAAGAAGUGAGACCUUGAGGUUUUGACCACCAAUACUAUCUAACUGAUGAGUUUAUGAUUUUUGUUUCUACUGUGUUCUUUCCUUAAGCUUUAACUUGUUUUUAGGAGCAAGAUGGUGAAGGUCUAGUCCACAACUUUCCCAAGAAUUUAAUGAUGUUUUGGGUUGACCCAAUUUUGUUAUUGGACACCGUUUUAUGGUAAUUGUUGUUAUGGUUUUUAAGUGUGUUUUGAUAUCUUGUGUUAAAAAUAAUUGCAAAAGUCGGAAAAGUUUGUUAAAGAUUAGGUGUUUUUAAGUUUGUCAUUCCACUUUAAUUCUCACCAAUACUUGCUGAAUGGAAGCCUCUUGUCUAAGACAAACUCAAGUGGAAUAACUCUGUGACUACCACAAAUUUGGGAACUCACCAAAUGUAAGACUAUUCCUUUAUCCUAGCAUUUGAUCUCUCUCUAUAAUUUGGUUUGCUAUCGUAAGUUUGAUUAAAAUAAAUGUUGAUAAUUCAACCUCAAUGUUCUUAUUUUCUUAACUCCCAUUCAGUCAGUUAGAAUCAAAACUCAUUUAUUUAUCUUGUCUCCAUAAUUUGGAUUCAAAGAUUCAUCACAAUAAUCUUCUCAACAACAUUCUUGAAAAGGUAUUGAAUUUUCAACUGUGUGACCUUUAUACACAAAUUUCUUCAAAGAAAUUUACAUUCUUUAGAGUUUAGAGCUUUGAAUUCUAGUACAACUUAUAAAGCUCUUGAUACUUGUUAGACUUUUUUGCUUGGUGUGGAUAAAACCUUAUUUACAUUCUUUCUUUCCUGCAUGUUCUCUUUUGAUAUUUGUUAGACUUUUUUGCUUGUUGUCCUUAGUGUUUUCCUCUUUAGCUGAAAUUUCUCUAUCUUGAAAAAAAUAGAGCUUUAAAAUUCAACUUUAACUUUAUUUGAUACUAUCUUAGUCCAUACUUAUUUUGGUAUUUCUUUCAUUUCUCACAAACACAUCUAAGAGGUUGCCUUCACAAUAUGGCCAAAUUAACAAUAUGGCAACCUUUUUCAUUGCAAAACAUAUUAGUGGUUGGUUACUUAGUUAGCCUUAUUGGGUAAAUAAUUGACAUUUAGGUACUUUUUAGUUUGUAUAUUUAUAGAUGCCAAAUCGAUAUGUGAAUUUUAAUUGUUGCUUAUUUGAAACAUUGCAACCAUUUGAUAAAAUGUUGCUAUGUGAAUCCAUCUUAACUUGAUAUAUUAUUUUAUUUUGGUUUAGGUUGUGGAAUCCAAGUUUGUAUUUGAAGUCAAAUUCAUCCAAGAUCAUUGAGUUUCAAAGCUUCUUUAAUUAAGAUUUUGUUUCUUGAACUAGAAUUGUAGUCUUGUGAUUUUUGGAAUAGCAUAGUUGGAUUGGUUUUGUAAUGUUUUGUAUAUGACAAUAUCGAACAAACAUGUAAAGUUUUCGAAAUGUUCAUACAUAUAUGAUUAAAUGUUAAUAUAUGUUAAAGUUUUGGAAUUGUACUCGUGCAUAUUUAUGAGAUUGUUGGGCCACACUACAGGAAUUAUAUAGACAAUACAGGAAAAAAAAUAUAAAUAAAUUAUAAUUUAGCAAAAAAAUGAAACAAGCUUGACGUUUUUUAAAUGUCAUAAACAAAUACAUUCUUGACGGUUUUUCAAUGUCAUUAACAAGUAAAUUCUUGACGUUUUUUAAACGUCAUAAACAAUUGUGUUCUUGACCGUUUUUAAAUGUCAUAAAUUACAUUCUUGAUAGUUUUUAAAUGUCAUGAAUACUCAUUCACUUGACGAUUUUUAACUGUCAUGAAUAUUUGUAUACUUGACGUUUAUAAACUGUUAAGAAUAGCUAUUCUUGACGUUUUAUUAACCGUCAAGAACUUUGACUUUCUUGACGCUGGCUUCAAUGACGGUUUUAAAACCGUCAAGAAUAGUGAUUCUUGACAGUUUAAAAACGUCAAGAGAGUCUGUUUUUGUAGUAGUGAAUGAUAAGCUUAUUGAGUCGGCGAUCUAGCCACUCUCACUCGUACAAAUCAAAGGACAAUCUCUCGCGAACAAGAGUUCAUAAUACACUCAAGAUUAAGACUAAGUUAUAUAGAUCAUCCUAGUGAAAUAGAAACCUAACUAGUUAAUGUAGUAACACCAAGUGGUUACUAUUUCACGGUCUGGUCUAUUGCAAUCUCAUUGCAUAGGAUACCUUCACUCGCAUGUCAACUACAUGAGCACAUUGGAUCAUUGUAUUUGUAUCAAAUACAAAGUGAGUCGUAUUCAUAAUGUUACCAGGAUAAAGGUAUCAAAUACAAAGUGAGUCGUAUUCAUAAUGUUACCAGGAUAAAGGUACCCAGUCUUAUCCCUAUACUAUAGACCCUUUAAGCUAAUCUCGAACAUUGAUCCAUGUAUGUCUCUACAUACUAUUCAAUACUUAUUAAACAGUUUAGGAUGUUAGUUUAUUGGAUUUGAGUUAUUAAGACAAAAACUAAUAAUAUAAUCAAUAACAAUUAUUACAAUAAGAACACUUUAUUAACAAUGGUCAAUGGAUUAUAUUUACAAUCUACGAGUUUUAGGACAUAAAUUCCAACAAACUCCCACUUGGACUAAAACUCUAGUCUCUUUGGGAUGUUCAUAAUAAAGUAAUCCUCUAACAUUGAAAAUGGUAAAAUGUACAAGUGUAUUACAUAAAAUGUGUAUAUACAAAUACAAUAAACUAGGGCAUCCUCAUACCCAUUACACAUCUGCCACUUUUCCUAGAUUACCUAAUGUACAUAACUCGCAGAUCUAGACUUUCUAGAAGACCCUCGAACACUUUAGCCAUGAGAGUCUUUGUAAAUGGAUUAGUAAUAUGCCCCACUAUUAUCACAAUAUAAAGUGAUGGGGCAUGUUCAUGUUUGGAACAACUUCCAAAUUAUGCAAGAACUUCCUCAGCAAAACUGCUUCUUUUGCUGCUUCACAAGUAACAAUAUACUCAACUUUCAUAAUAGAGUGUGUAAUGACGCGUGGCUCAGGCUGCUUGAUCAUGCCAGGACAUGCUUCUUGCAUGUCCCAAGCCUAAAUAACCUCUUUCGCUCAAAACACACGCUCAUCUCACCUUGUCAUCCUGGCAAUCAACCCACCCUUGGCCUUGCCUAGAAAUAUGAUUUUUCUACCAGAAACUUAACUCGACUUUGAAGCUUAAAUCAAUAAGAUUCCUUCUACAAACUUACUUAGAAUGUCUUCACUAGCUUACCACAAAGUGUCACUAACAAAUUCCAAAAUUCUCUACAUUGUUCAAGUUUUUUUUUUUUUUUUUUCUGAAAAUGACCUUUGAGUCUUUCUUCACUUCAAUGCCUUUCUUCCUGGUAGCCUUUCUCCUGAUACUACACUCAAUUUAGGAGAUUUUCGAAGUAGAGUUACCCAAUUAACACAAGUUGCUUGUUAACAUAAUUCGUCCAAAGUUGUACAUAUAGUGAUCCUUGCAUGCUCUUUGGUUGACACUUUUAUUCUCACCUCUUACGCCCAUACUUGGCACUUUCCACCUCAUGCAAGACACUUAUUUGGCAAAACAUAGGUAUCUUGUAUGUUGUCUCACUUGUACUCUACCGCACAUCUUACCUCAUAUUGCUUAAGUCAUCCUUGGAUGCAUAUUCCUUUUUCUAUGAGGGUUCUUUAGUAAAUUCUUACUGCCAAGAAUGCCUAAGACUUUUUUUUUCUCGCCUAAUCUCCCAAACAUCCCUCAAUGCCUUCAACAAACCAUGCCAUCUUGACUAGCAUUUGGUUGAAUUGCCCAUUGGCCGCAUGGCCUAUGUCCACAUAGCCCACCUCUUUGUUGCAUGACAUUCCUUAUCCACGUUCUAACUUCUUUAGAGUUUCUUGACAUUUCCUAGAUGCUUAGCUUCCUUGCCUAGCGCAUACCCUUGGUCAUAUAGCCUUGUCUUAUAGAGGUUGUCUUGACACACCUUUCGGCCAUACCACAUCUCAACCUUUGGCCACCCAACAUGUCUCUUUAGAGGUUCGCUUGACACUUUUGGCCCCUAGAGUAUGCAACAUGCCCUAGACAACACUUAGCCAAUUUUCGAACACCCUUUAUGCCUUUCUUUGUUACGAUGACACUUUCUUUUGUCAUCUUAAAAAUAUUAACACAUCUUUCAUAACACUUCAACUAAACUAUCCAAUCUUAAACCAUCUUUCUCCUAACAUCAACCCCUAAUGUCCUAUUGAGUUCUUUAGAUGAAUUAAGGAUUAUUAGGUAUCGGGGUUUACACGCGAGAUGUAAGUCUUCCUCCUUGGAAUUACGUAUAGUAGUGUGCGGAGGGAGAGGAAUGUGAUGCAGGUCUUCCUCCUCAACCCUAAGGAAUUCUUCUUCGCUAACAAUGCCCUUUUGAUCGGGUAAGGGCUUGUUCGGUCAGGUCGUGAGGUGAAGGAUGUUGUUAUAAUGAUGGGGGAUUUGGUGGUGAGAGGAUAAUAGACAUGCGAGAAGACUUGGGUAAGAUUGAUGACAGGGAGUUUCAAUUUUUGGAUGAGGACUGGAAUUGAAGGAUUUGGAUUUUGGAGGAGGCGAUGAGAGAGUUAGGGGUCGGAUUGUAAGAGGUUUAGGGUCGAGUGUUAUUAAAUAUAUAUUUAUAUAUAUAUAUAUAUAAAAGAAAAUAUUGGGUUGAAUCCUUCGAAGCCCUAGACUUGUCUCUACCGCAUUUGAAAAUGCCAAGUUCUCUAUGAGGAUCUCUCACUUCUGCUGUGUUCACCGUCCGUCCAUCCGCGUUCACCAAGCCCUCUCCAAAAAUGCGUACUAGGUCCUUCGCUUUUAGUCGUUCACCAUCCACUGAGUACGAGAUCCCUAAGACUUUCGCCAUCUACCAUCCCUAAUACUCUGAAAUCGUCGUUCGUUGUCCCUCAAAAUUGUCGUCCUUCUCUACGAAAACGUCGUCCUUCUUUCGAGUCUUCGUUCCCCUUUAUGUCGUCCUUCUGUAUUUAGAGGUUAUACUUCAUUCCCCUAAAACUUCCAUUGGUUUCCAUAUUUCAAGAAUUUGAAAUUUUUAUAGGAUAUUGCUAGUGGAAAUUAAGUCAAUUCUGUUUGCUCCCAAACUACCUCCUAACUAUGCUGUCUGGUUGGGAGAAAUAAAGUCUUCAUCAUAUUUCAAGGUAGUGUAUGUUAACCAACACUUAGUGCAUUUUCGUGUUUAUGAGCUUAUUUUAGUUAAUAUGUUUUUGUAGGAAAAAUAUGCUGUCAAUAUGGCAUAUUCUACGAUGAAAUUGUAGUCGUUUAACACAAAAUUUUAAGGUUCUUUUUCAACUAAUUAUGCUUUAUCUAAUAUAUUUUUCCAAAUCUCAAAGAAGAACUUUUGAUUUCAUUGGAGUUUAUCAUUAGAGCAUUACUAUAUUGGCUGCCUCUCAGUGGGCUAUAGGUUUUCCAAUGGUCAUUUGAGACUGGUUAAUAAUAGCAAAAGUUAGAGCUUGAGAAGAAGGAGCGAAGAGAGUAGUGAAGACAAAUGAAGAAAGAAAGCUGAGUGAAAAACGAAAAUUGACAAGGUAGAGAUGUGACAUGAAAAUGAUGAUGAGAAGUGAAGGAGGCACGACACAAUACAGGUACACAAUAACAAAGCCUUGAUAAUUAAAAAAAGGAUGGUGCCAAGAAAAUUUAAAUAAAAAAAAAAUGAAGGUUCUUGAAAGUGUAUUGAGUGAAUGGGAGAAAGAAAUGAUAAAAAAGGUAGAAAGAGAGAAAGAGAAGUCAAGGGUAGAGAUACAUAACUUUGUAUAUAGAAACUUUAUGUCAACAACGACGCGCUUAGCAUAGGUACGGAACCGGACACCAUCUUCUUGGUGUUUGUAUGUGCAAAAGCCUCGAGUGGCUAUGGUCUUCUUCUUCUCUAUGAGGGAAAUGGUUGAAAUUGCUAGACUAUUUCAAUUACUAUGUGAGAGGUGGCUGAAUUUUAUUCGACCUCUCUUCUUGGGCUUACUUUUUACAAUUGUUUAACAAUCUCUCUCUGAAUAUACCUUCGUCCCCUUAGCUGCUUCCCACUUUGGUAUGGAUACAUUUGUCACUACUAGAAAAAUGGAUUUUAAUCAAGACAUUGUGUCGUUGAAAAUAAAAGAAAAAAGAGGUGGGAUGAGGUACACUGUGUUGUUGAAAAUAAAAAUAUGGAUUAUUUCUUAAAACAAUUCUAUUGACACAAUUUAAUUUAUUUCCACACAAUUUUUGGGUCAUUAAUUAACGACAACUUUUUUGUCAUUAAAAAAAAAUUUCAAAUGAAAAAACCUCAAAUUUCAAAAUUUUUUAAUUUCCCUCUCUCACGCAAUUACAACUAAGUAAAAACAUCAAAUUUUCUCUUAAGCAAAAACGAUGUCGUCGAAUGAAGUCUUAAUGCAAUUUUUUUCUCACUCUACAUAAAAUGCAAAAAAAAUCUCGUCGAACGAAGUGGGCUACCGAGUCGUUAUGAAGAACCCUUGCCUUCCAAUUUUUUGCCACUUGUCGUCGUCGAUUCCACACUCCAACCACUGUUGUCGUUGCUGCCACAACAAGCCUUCGCCGUCGAACCAACCAAUCUAGCCACUUUCGUCGAAUAAAUUUAUUUAGAAAUAUAAGUGUUCGCACGAGAUUUCCGGAGAAAUUUAAUUCGUGGACUUGAACUUGAGUUGAUGUUGUAUUUUUGUUGAUUUGAUGCGAUGCGGUUCAAUCUCUAGAAUUUGAUCCUCUGAUUCUCUCUCAACUGGAUGCUUCAGCUUGAUUUGGAGGAAGCGAAGCACGUGAUGUUCUUGAAGUUGAAGCCUUGGAAGAAAGCUUGUAUCUUUAAAGAAGCUUCAAUCUUCGAGGAUGGUCGACUUCAGGAGUUAGGGAGUCUUCUAGCUCUUUGAAGAAUUCUCUCUGGAUCUUCUAGAGUCAAAAUUUUCCAACCCCUACAAAUGAGGAGAAUUCCUCUAUUUAUAGAUUUCACUGGUGGGCUUUAUGGGUUUGAACCUGGUUGGUCCAUGGACCAGACCCAUGGGCUCAACCAUAUGGACUUAGGUUAUAUUUAGUCUUUGGGUUCAAUUAAGCUUAUUUUUUGGGCUUAAUUGAACUUAGUCCAAGUAAAUAAUAUUUAAUUGAACUAAAAUGAUUAACUUAAUCCAACUAUUAAUAUGAAAACAUGUGGCAUUAUUAGAAUGACCAUUUUAUUUAUUUUCAACUCUUUAAUUUGGAGCAUAUGUCAAUUUUAAUUAGUCCCAAAUUUAAUUAUUUGUACUUUUCAUCAUUAACUUAAUAAAUGAUGUGGCAACUUGUGAUUGGUCUCAAAAAAUUUUAUUCAACAAAUGCCCCCUUUUCGAGAUUUAUGCACGUAUAUGGGUGAAUGAAUCUCGGAAAAGAUAAAUUUGAAGUCAAAGUACGAGCUUCUUUUUUUUUUUUUUUUUUUUUUUACCCAAUUCAAUAUAUCAAAUUAAUCAAACUAUGAAUUUAGUACGUGAGUUUGAUUUAAAUUUAAAAUAGGGGUUGGAAUAUGGCCAAACCUUAAAAAAAUUCAAAGUUUUAUUCCUAACUUAAUUUUAUUUGAGGAUAAAAAAAAAAAUUAAUAUGAUGAUUUUUUUUAAGUAAAAUUUGGAAUAUAACCAAAAUUUUAAUUUUGAAAUAAGGAUAAAGUUUCUACCGUACCUUAAUUUAUCUUGAGGAUGCAUAAGAAUUUGGAAUGACCAAUUUUAAUUUGAGAUAAAAAAUCAGGUCCUCAAUCUUAGGUAAAGUUGGAUUUAUUGCUCCGAUUUAAAUUCAUGAUAAAAAUGAGGUCAUAUAUGCAAGUUAAUUUAACUUGAAUUUUGAAAUUGAGAAUAUUUAUCUAUAUAUAUAUAUAUAUUUAAAUGUUGAAAUUUUUAAAUAUUUUAAAUAUCUCAAUAAAAGUUAAACUUGAGAUUUAUCCAACAAAAAAAAAAUUUAAAAUAAAAUAAGAUAAUUGGAUUAUCUUUUCUUUAUAUAUAUAUAUAUAUAUAUUUAAAAUCAAUCCUAUUCCUUUUAGGAAUUGGAUUUGUUUUUUUUUUUUAAAAAAAAUAAUUAAAUAUCAUUCAUAAUCCUUUUAGGAAUUGGAUUUGUUGGACUUAUAAAUAGACUCACACCCUACUCACUUAUACCUCAUCCGACGCUUAUUCCUCAUCCAAUCAGCAAAAAGGUAUAGAAAACUUUUCUUCUCCCUUUCUCUUUUUUUUCUUUUUUUGUGUGUGUUUUUUUUUUUGUUUUGUUUUUUCUUAUUCUGUUUUGUUUUGUUUUUUUGUUUUUUUUUUUGUGUUGUUUUGUUUUUUUUGUUUUUUUUUGUUUUUGUUUUGUUUUGUGUUUUUUUUGCAGGAAUGACUUUGUUGAGCUUCUUCUAGGGACGAUUGGGCUUUUGCCGUCAGAUCUAUCGCCCUAGUAGGAGAGAUCGACUCUGUCAUCGUCGGGCUUCGAUCUUCGUUUGCAGAAAUGACUUUGUUGAGCUUCUUCUAGGGACGAUCGGGCUUUUGCCGUUAGAUCUAUCGCCCUAGUAGGAGAGAUUGACUCUGUCAUCGUCGGGCUUCAAUCUUCGUUUGCAGAAAUGACUUUGUUGAGCUUCUUCUAGGGACGAUCGGGCUUUUGCCGUCAGAUCUAUCGCCCUAGUAGGAGAGAUCGACUCUGUCAUCGUCGGGCUUCGAUCUUCGUUUGCAUAAAUGACUUUGUUGAGCUUCUUUUAGGGACGAUCGGGCUUUUGCCGUCAGAUCUAUCGCCCUAGUAGGAGAGAUCGACUCUGUCAUCGUCGGGCUUCGAUCUUCGUUUGCAGAAAUGACUUUGUUGAGCUUCUUCUAGGGACGAUCGGGC